rnacentral:rRNA from 1 species
UUGACGGGGAGCACUACAACGGGUGGAGCCUGCGGUUUAAUUGGAUUCAACGCCGGAAAUCUCACCGGGGCGACAGCAAUAUGAAGGUCAGGCUGAAGACCUUACCGGAUUAGCUGAGAGGUGGUGCAUGGCCGUCGUCAGUUCGUACUGUGAAGCAUCCUGUUAAGUCAGGCAACGAGCGAGACCCACGUCCACAGUUGCCAGCAUACCCUCCGGGGUGAUGGGUACACUGUGGAGACCGCCGCUGCUAAAGCGGAGGAAGGAAUGGGCAACGGUAGGUCAGUAUGCCCCGAAUCUCCCGGGCUACACGCGGGCUACAAUGGUUGGUACAAUGGGCAUCUACCCCGAAAGGGGAAGGAAAUCUCUUAAAGCCAAUCGUAGUUCGGAUUGAGGGCUGCAACUCGCCCUCAUGAAGCUGGAAUCCGUAGUAAUCGCGUUUCAACAGAACGCGGUGAAUACGUCCCUGCUCCUU